AGUUAAAGGGACUUUGAGGU
rnacentral:piRNA from 1 species